rnacentral:lncRNA from 1 species
AUUUACUCAUUGUUUAUGUUUGUGACGUUACAUAAGUUGCUCAAGACCCGUGGGACGUUGUUAGAUUGGUCACUAAUAGACGAUUGAACCUCGGAAUCAAGUCAAGUAAUAGUAUGAAAUAUUUACAUUUUUAAAUAAUUGUCCACUUGGACCUCUGACUAUUCCAAUUCGAGUAAUUCCAAUUGCAAUUUAUACGACUUAUGACUGAGCAAUGGAAUAAAAUAUACGUUCCAUCUCCAAGCACGAGUUUGAGAGUGUUGAAACUUGAAAUGUUAUUCAGAUGUAUUGAGGACGAUGAAAACAGGCCGAGGAUUGAUACGAGGCCCUUGAAUUGGAAAUCUGGAUGGAGAGAAGACCUUGUGUAUAGGAAAAUACUCUUUAAUAACUUCCUGAAAAUAAGGUGCUACAAUAAUAAUCAGUGAUCCGAUUUUCAAAGUGGAUCAAGUGUAUAACCUGCUCAAUGGCUGCUGUUUUACAUAAGAAGUGGUUAUACCAAACCAAACAUCCAUUCCCAAUAAUGGUACUUGGUGUUGUGGCAGCAGAAGAAAAAAGAUUACCCUUUCUUCUUCGAGCCCGGGAGAUAAUUGGCCAGAAUGCCUACUAGAAGAUACUCCAAUGACUCCUCUUUCGAUUGGGAGUUCUGGGAAGAUUCAAUAAUAUAUGCUAGUUGUUCGUAGAUCACAUAGUAUUUGAUGAUCUAGAGGCGAAGGUCAAAAUGUUUUGAUCUCACUAACUCAAUGCACCAAAAAAUAACAAUCUCAACUGUAAUUAUUCAAGCGGAUCACGUUUGUCGUCUCAAUUGGAAGUCUCAUUUAUUUUAAAUAUUUUUUUGUGAAUGUUUCAAUAGAAAUCAAUUCUGUUUAAUAUUUAACCAA